AGUGAACGCUGGCGGUAGGCCUAACACAUGCAAGUCGAACGGCAGCACAGUAAGAGCUUGCUCUUACGGGUGGCGAGUGGCGGACGGGUGAGGAAUACAUCGGAAUCUACUUUUUCGUGGGGGAUAACGUAGGGAAACUUACGCUAAUACCGCAUACGACCUACGGGUGAAAGCAGGGGAUCUUCGGACCUUGCGCGAUUGAAUGAGCCGAUGUCGGAUUAGCUAGUUGGCGGGGUAAAGGCCCACCAAGGCGACGAUCCGUAGCUGGUCUGAGAGGAUGAUCAGCCACACUGGAACUGAGACACGGUCCAGACUCCUACGGGAGGUAGCAGUGGGGAAUAUUGGACAAUGGGCGCAAGCCUGAUCCAGCCAUACCGCGUGAGUGAAGAAGGCCUUCGGGUUGUAAAGCCCUUUUGUUGGGAAAGAAAAGCAGCAGGUUAAUACCCCGCUGUUCUGACGGUACCCAAAGAAUAAGCACCGGCUAACUUCGUG
rnacentral:rRNA from 1 species